UACGAAGGGUGCAAACGUUGCUCGGAAUUAUUGGGCGUAAAGCGCACGUAGGCGGCUCCGCAAGUCGGAUGUGAAUCCCUCGGCUCAACCAAGGAAGUGCAUCCGAAACUGCAGAGCUUGAGUACCAAAGAGGAUCGCGGAAUUCCCGGUGUAGAGGUGAAAUUCGUAGAUAUCGGGAGGAACACCAGUGGCGAAGGCGGCGAUCUGGGUGGAUACGUGACGCUGAGGUGCGAAAGCGUGGGGAGCAAACAGGG
rnacentral:rRNA from 1 species